GGAGAGUUUGAUCAUGGCUCAGGGUGAACGCUGGCGGCGCGCUUAAUGCAUGCAAGUCGAGCGUGAUCGUGGCUUCGGCCACAAUGAUAAAGCGGCAGACGGCUGAGUAACGCGUGAGUAAUCUGCCCUCCGGUGGGGUAUAACCUCGGGAAACUGAGGAUAAUCCCGCAUACGACCUGCAUCCCUUGGGGUGCAGAUGAAAGGCUUCGGUCGCCGGAGGAGGAGCUCGCGUCCUAUCAGGUUGUUGGUGAGGUAAUGGCUCACCAAGCCGAUGACGGGUAGCUGGUCUGAGAGGAUGACCAGCCAGAGGGGGACUGAGAACGGCCCCCACUCCUACGGGAGGCAGCAGCAGGGAAUCUUGGGCAAUGGGCGAAAGCCUGACCCAGCGACGUCGCGUGGGGGACGAAGGCCUUCGGGUUGUAAACCCCUUUUCCGGGGGAAGAGAAAGGACGGUACCUCGGGAAUAAGCCCCGGCUAACUACGUGCCAGCAGCCGCGGUAAUACGUAGGGGGCAAGCGUUACCCGGAAUCACUGGGCGUAAAGUGCGCGUAGGCGGUUGGAUAAGUCUCUUGUGAAAGCUCCCGGCUCAACUGGGAGAGGUCAAGGGAUACUAUUUGACUAGAGGACAGCAGAGGUAAGCAGAAUUCCCGGUGUAGCGGUGGAAUGCGUAGAUAUCGGGAGGAACACCAGUGGCGAAAGCGGCUUACUGGGCUGUAGCUGACGCUGAGGCGCGAGAGCGUGGGGAGCAAACAGGAUUAGAUACCCUGG
rnacentral:rRNA from 1 species